GGAAAGGCAGAGGUUAGUUUGGAAUUAAGAAAAAAGAAUUUAUACAGAACAGAAAAGCCAAAACAGAAUAAUAACACACCAAUUGUUUGGUAAAUACUCUAAAAAUAUUUUUUUUUGAGUGAAAGUUGGCCUUCAUUAAAUAAAGAGGAACUAAUGCGUUCCAUCAAACCAUAUCAAAUCAUACUAAAGAAACAAAUAGCCCUAAUCAGUAAAGAAACCCCUUCCCCCUAACUAUAAGUAACAAAUGAAGCUAGAAUCUGAACAAUCUUCUUGUAGACACGACCCCAGCGAGGACCUGCAUGAAAAAUCAGAGAAGAAACGCAGGAAAAGCUUGCCUUGGGAACCUUUUGGAGUGAAAGAUACUGUGAUCUCCAAAAUCCAAAGCCAAAACCAUUGAAAACUACCCCCCGGAGCUUCGUGACGUCCAUUACUGUCAAUCCAGAGUCGUUGAGCGCUUUACCUCUAAAGGAGCUUCCUCAAUCCAAUAUUGUGGUGCUGGAAGGCGACACCCACUUCUUGCAAGAACAUGAGCUGUUGUAUUCGCCGAUCUGCCAACAAACCCGAAUGUAACACUAUCAAAACCUCUCACCUUCCCCUUAAUGUCUUGAAUAAUCAGACCUAGUACUGAUCUGUCUGAAUCUAUGUUGUUUAAUUUUUUCAUGACUGUGAGUGAAUCGCCUUCCACAUGUAUCGAUCUAAACCCAAGCUCUUGAGCAAAGGUCAUUGUUUGUUCGCAUACAUGUGCUUCAGCUAUGAAAGCAUCUGCAACGCCAAAAUGCGGGUAAGUGCAAGCUGCCAGAAUUUCCCCAUUUUCAUUUCUAUCUAAAACACCCAAAAUAGGAAUAUUGGUAUUAGUAUUGAAAGAAGCAUCAUAGUUUAGCUUUAUGUUGUUUGUGUCUGGAGGAACCCAAAUCUCUUAUUUAGGAACGAAUGAGGAAGGUCUCAACCCCUCAAGGGCUUCUAUUUCUAUGAGAUAACCCUUAAUGAAUACCACUAGUUCCGGUAUAUUUGGCUUAAUACCAUCAUGAACCAACCUAUUCCAAGCAUGCCAGAUUGCCCAGUAAGCAAUUACAAGAACCUCCUUUUCCUUAUCAGCCAGCUGAUUAAAACCCAUUGCUAACCACUGCUUAUAAUUUGAAUAUUGUGACAAAGGUAACAUCCUUGUUUUCAAAGAGGCUAGUGUUUGUUUUGAGACAAUACACGACCUCAAAAGGUGGUCCACAGAUUUUUCAGUUUCUUUACAUAGAAGGCAUAAUUUAUCAACAUGCAUCAUACGUUUAGAUAAAUUCUCGAAUGUAGGUAGAAAGUUAUGUGUAAGUCUUUAGAAUGUAAUUUUGAUUUACCUUGGAAGAUGUAAAGCCCAUAGUUUUGUAAAUAGCAUUGUAAUUAGAUUAGGUAAAUCCAUAGACUGGGAAGUCUUAGCAUGUAAUUCUUGGUCAAGCAACAACUUGUAACCACUACUUGGAGAAUACUCACCCGACCCUUCAUAUCGCCAGACCAACAUAUCUAGACAGUCUGUUUGUGCUAGUGGAAUCAUCAGCACCUUCUCAGCUUGUUUGUACAAGUAUCAAAAUUAAUUAGUUGUGAGACAGUAUUUUGACACUGUAUUUUCCUAUUACCUGGCCCAGGAAUCCAAGCAUCAUUCCAGAUGUUUACACUAUUACCGGCCCGUGCCAAUUCUCCAACCAAUUCCCAUUUCAAUUAGGCCCCUUGCACUUAAAAUACUCCUCUAGGUAAAAGAAGCAUAAGAUCCUAACCUUGCAGACAUGAAAUUUGAUUAAGGAAAAUAUCUAACUUUUAAAACUUUUGCCAAUAAACAAUCACCAUGCGUAAUAAUAUGCCAACACUGCUUGGCCAAUAAUGCUAUGCUGAACUUGGAUAAAUCACAAAACCCCAACCCUUCUUUCGCUUUCAAUAAACAAAGUGGGUGCCAUGCAGACCAAUGUAUACCUCGACGCGUAUUAUUAUUCCGCCAUUAUUAAAAAUGUUACUCAAUUGGGUAUAAAGUGUCUUUGGAAAAAAAAAACAUUGCAUAGCAUAGACUGGUAGAACUUGCAAUACGGAUUUUAUGAAAACCUCUUUCCCACCUAUAGAUAGAAAUCUCAUACCCAAACCUUCCACCUUCUUACUAAAGCAAUCCAAAUAAUGCGCAAAUGCUUGCUUUUUACUUCUACCAACCAUGACUUAGAAUCCCAAAUACUUCUAGGGGUUUUUCAAAAUCCGAAAGCCCAACAGCCUCCCCACAACAUUUUAGACAUUCAAAUCCACAUUAGCUCUAAAAUAAAGAAGAGACUUUUCAUAGUUGACCUUUUGUCUCUAAGCUUUUUCAUAUUUAGAAAUAAUCUGUUUUAUAUUUUGAGCUCCUUCCCUUAAAGCCUCACCAAAUAAAACACUGUCAUCCACAAAGAAGAGGUGAUUUAUUGCUAGUCUCUCCCUUCUUAUACACGCCUCCUUUAUUCGCUCUACUGCUUUUGCUUCAUUAAGAAUAGUCGAGAACCCCUCAACACACAAUAAAAACAAGUAUGGACUAAGGGGAUCACAUUGAUGCAAACCCCUCGAAGAGAAAAAAAAAAGAUUCACUAAUGCUGCCAUUAACCCCGACCAUAUAGGAAACAAAGGACGCACAUAUCAUAAUUAGCCUCACCCAAUUUUCGUGAAAACCCAAGUGUACCAUUAUCCCUAUUACAAAGUCUCAUUCAACUCUAUCGUACGUUUUGCUCAUAUCGAGCUUAAGCGCAAAAUUUCCUAGUUUACCCAAUCUCUUCACUUUGAGUGAGUGCAAUAUUUCAUAUACAACAAGGACAUUAUUUGAAAUUUGCUUGUUAGGAAUAAACUCUCAUUGAGCUUCAUCAACACACUCUCCCAACAGACCACUUAUUAUGUUCACUAUUACCUUGGUAAUGAUCUUAUACAACACAUUGCAUAAACUAAUAGGCCUAAGCUGUGUCAUAUUGCAAGGAUUAUUUACCUUCAAAAUCAAAACAAUGAGUCCUAUUGAUUUUGUUGAUAGUAAUCUCCCCACGAAGAACCGCAAGGCAAUAGUUCGUAACAUCAUUACCUAUGACAUGCCAAUAUUUUUUAUAAAAUAAAGUCGGGUACUUAUCAAUACCUGAUGCUUUAAGAGGCGACAUAGAUUUGACAGCAACCCAUACUUUUUCAGGUAGAAAAGGUUGCAGCAAAUCCACAUCCAUCUUUGUCAUCACCUUUCUUUAAACGUUAGCAUAAAUCCUAGAAGUAUCCUCUUCGUCCGAGGCCGUGAAAAGUUCCAUGAAAUACUUAGAAGCAAUCUUCAGAACCUCUUCCUCGUCACUUACCCCUUCCCUUUCAAUGCCAACAAUUCUGUUUCGCUUCCUUCGACCACAAACUACCUUAUAAAAAAAGUGGUAUUCCUGUCCCUAGUCGAAAGUCAGUUAACUCAGGCUCUCUGUUCCCAAAAUAGUUCCUCUUUAUCAUCCUCCAAAUUUAGCCUAAUUUGGAUAUUUGUUAAUUUGGCAAGGAUAUCAUCAUCCAGCUUCUUAGCGUAAAGCUCAUUCAUCCUAAGUUCUAGCCAUUGUUUAUUGGCCACUCAGCUUCUUUUAACCUAAUGACUCCAAUUUCGCAAUGUUUUCCCCAAACCAUUUAAUUUAAUUGGUAAAGCAUCAUUAGAAAAGGACCAAAAAUUGUAAAUUUCUUUCUCGCAUGAAUCCUUCAAACACCAAUUUGCAUCAAAACGAAAUUGACCCUGACCCUUUCGUGGCCCACUUUGUCGACUGAUUGUGUUUAUCACAAUUGGAUAGUGAUCAGAUAAUGAGUGUGUCCAAUGCGUCAUAGAGUAAUCCAAAAAUAAACUCCACUAAGCCAGAUUUGCCAUACCUCUAUCAAGUCUUUCUCGAAUAUGGUUGCCGUAAAUCUACCCUUCUCCCAUAUGAACCCGUGCCUUAUGAACCUUAUAUCACUCAAAUAGCAAUCUUGUAACAUAAUUCUGAAAACCUCCAUGUUUCUUUCCAGACGCAAUCUACCACCCCUCUUUUCAAAAGAGUAAGCUAUCUUAUUGAAAUCACCAGCUACUAACAACGGGAUAGACUGAUCUUGACCCAACUAACGAAUCAAAUUCUACGAAAUACUCGUUAACCGUUCUUCAGGAUCACCAUAAAAACCCGUGAAGCACCAUACCACUCUUUCCCGAUCAUCAUGAAUAUCAACAUCGAUAUGAUAUUGAGAAUAACUAUGUAGAUUAACUGUACAAUUCUGUCUCCAUCCCAGUGACAAUCCUCCUUUAGAACUCACUGCUCCCACAUUAAUACCAUUCGCGUAACCAUAUUUCCUCCUAACAAUCUCCAUAUUUCACGCACUAAUUUUUGUUUCCAUUAGAAACAAAAUCUGGGGACAUAUUUCUCUCAACUUAUUCUUGAGACGACAUACUGCCUGUGGCCUCCCCAAACCAUGAACAUUUUAGCUUACGAUUUUCAUUACCUAGUCGAUGGAAUAUAACCAUUUUCUGAUACACCACCAUUGCUUUUAAUUUUACCGGUGGUAACCUGCCCCACCACUCUUUGUCAUUUAUUCCCUUCAACGUAUUGGAUAAGAUAUUCUUCCCCAUUUGAAACCAGUUCCAUAAGCCCAAGAUUAGUAGGCCUACCCCUCUUUCAUGUCAGUAUCCAAGUGAGAUACACCUACUCUAUCUCCAACCGGUUGGCAUAUGGUAGACCCUACUAAUUGUAGCUUAUGAUUGGGAUACAAAUUGGUAGCAUUAUACCCCAAAAUUACGCCUUAAUUGACUCCUUUCCUUAUCCAUCCUUUGACUUAUGGAACUAUCUGGUUCCCGUAACCAUCGACUCACUGCCAAUGAGCCUCUUUUUAUUAGUUCUCGCAAAGAGAUAUCCCAUCCAAAUUGGAUUUUUUUCGGAUCUAUUCGCACCCUCAAUGGGCCAAACCUCUCUCCAUGCCCAAACUUUCCACAAAGAAAACAAAACAAACUAAGUCUUUCAUAUUGAAACCGAGCAUAAACUGUUCGACUAACGCCUAAUAGAAUCUUCUUCUUACGCUUUAAUGGAAGGCAAACAUCCAACCAGACCUUAAUUUGCAUAAAUCUUUGUACAGCUAACAAGAAAUCUUUGUAUCAUAUUCAAGAAAAUACCUAGAAACACUUAAAACUGCCGCACCAUAGCCUCUGACAUUAGACCCGGAGGUAGAUCAUGAAAUUACAUCUAGAACUCAACAGAAAAUAAUGGCAACGUGAUAGAGUCCUCUGGUUAGAUCCUAUGCAGCAAAAACAAAUGAUUGUUAAAGAACCAUGGUGUUCCAUCCAAAACGCGUUGUAUAUCCAUUUCAUAAAAAAAUAAAAUAAAACUCACUUUUCUCCUAGAUCUUUAAUAAAAACUCCACCAAUAAGGUGCCAUAAAUCAAUCAAAGUAUUCCUUAGCGAGGGGAAAUGCACCACACUAUCUACUAGGCAACACCCUACUAAACAGAACUUGAACUCCUCAUCCGCCUCACUCUCUUCCCCUAAAAUGCUUCUUCCUCCUCAUCAACAAGUUUCAGAUUCGUUAACUCGUCUUCUAUAGCCCUCACCUAAAACCCUAGAGAAAUUAUGUUAAAAGAUAGACUAAAAUCGACGUAUUGGUAUAGAUUAAGCCAAUAUUUUAUAGUUGUGCUUCUCCAGAUCUAAUGGUAUAGAUUGAAUUAUAUCAACUGUUAAAAUUAGUGCCAAUUUACAAUAUAAGAGUCCUAAGGGAUUUAAACUCUAUACAUCUUUAUUCCUUAAUAUUUACAAUAAUUACCUUGGCAACUUUAGUUUUACUAGAGUGUUUCAUUAGGCUACCAAGGCUUCAAGUAGAUGAGUUUCUCCAUAUGUUCCAUGAAUCGAGCCAAUUGAAGUGGGUCAAAUGAGCCCCAUUUAAUUAGUUGACCUUCAUGGGACGCUCUAUGUUCAUUUGUCACAGGUUUUGAUCUGUGUCCUAUGACAUUCUCCCUCACUCAUUCUCGCAAUGCCCUCGUCGCAUCCUUGGAAUGACACUGGUUUGACUCAUUUUAGAACUACCUCAAUGCCUCGGUUGAUGCCCAACUAGUCUCUCUAUCAGGUAGUUCCGCUCCUUGAAACAUUUGCCUCGACUUAUGUCUUCGUCGUCACCUAACUCAAAUUGUAUUUCUCUCUUGUACAUUUCAUUUGCAAGAGUCUACCGCUCUUACUUGUCCCCAUCAUGACUUGC
rnacentral:lncRNA from 1 species